rnacentral:tRNA from 1 species
GGUCCGUUCGUAUAGUGGUUAGUAUAGUGGAUUUUGAUUCCAUUGACCCCGGUUCGAACCCGGGACGGACCU